CCGUUACGCUCUGCCUGAACAGGUAUACUUUGUCUGUUAUGAUGAAGAAACUGCCCGGCUUUACGCAAGAUUACUUACUCAGCAAGGCGACGACCCUGCCUGAUAAAACACGCCUGGAGCGUGCCGUUGAACCGCUAUGCGCGCGCCAUCCCGGAGAGUGCGGCAUUCUCGCGCUGGAUAACAGUCUGGACGCUUUUGCCGCCCGCUACCGCCUGACCGAAAUGGCGGCGCGGACGCUGGAUGUGCAGUAUUAUAUUUGGGAAGACGAUAUGUCCGGGCGGCUGCUCUUUUCGGUACUGCUGUCGGCGGCGAAGCGCGGCGUUCAUGUUCGUCUGCUGCUGGAUGAUAACAAUACGCCUGGUCUGGAUGAUACGUUGCGCUUGCUGGAUAGCCAUCCUAAUAUCGAAGUUCGUCUGUUUAAUCC
rnacentral:misc_RNA from 1 species